UUGCUCUGAUGGCGAGUGGCGAACGGGUGAGUAAUAUAUCGGAACGUGCCCUAGAGUGGGGGAUAACUAGUCGAAAGACUAGCUAAUACCGCAUACGAUCUAAGGAUGAAAGUGGGGGAUCGCAAGACCUCAUGCUCGUGGAGCGGCCGAUAUCUGAUUAGCUAGUUGGUGGGGUAAAAGCCUACCAAGGCAACGAUCAGUAGCUGGUCUGAGAGGACGACCAGCCACACUGGGACUGAGACACGGCCCAGACUCCUACGGGAGGCAGCAGUGGGGAAUUUUGGACAAUGGGGGCAACCCUGAUCCAGCAAUGCCGCGUGAGUGAAGAAGGCCUUCGGGUUGUAAAGCUCUUUUGUCAGGGAAGAAACGGUUCUGGAUAAUACCUAGGACUAAUGACGGUACCUGAAGAAUAAGCACCGGCUAACUACGUGCCAGCAGCCGCGGUAAUACGUAGGGUGCAAGCGUUAAUCGGAAUUACUGGGCGUAAAGCGUGCGCAGGCGGUUGUGUAAGUCAGAUGUGAAAUCCCCGGGCUCAACCUGGGAAUUGCAUUUGAGACUGCACGGCUAGACCUGGGAUAACACUGAC
rnacentral:rRNA from 1 species